AAGAAUAUGUGAAUGCUCAAAAUUAUUCAUAGCUGUUGGUAGAUUAGACACACCCACGCCUUCAUUUUCGAUGGGCUAAGCAUGGAAACUCCCUUUUUGCGGGUUUAAAUACCCAAGGCUCCAUCGUUAUUUCAUCAAAUAAUGUUUCUUCGGAUUUUUCCACCCAAAAGGAUUAAUCACCCAAUGGAUAUUCAUAGGUUUUCCUCCAAAUAUUUUGUCUGUGGCUUUUGUACCUUCCUGUCAUUGAGUUGAUUUUGAAUCCCAGAACUCAUUUACAACUGGACUUAGGAUAAAGAUCUACACGCUAGUGGCAUUGCGAAACGAUGCUUUGCUUUCUUGACCUUAAAUGCGUUUUGAAUAUAUGGGCCGUGAAAUUCUAAGACUUCACUUUUGUAUCAAAGAAGAAACCAUAUUGUUUCUUCCCUUCUGGAGCCUCACGUGGUGGGCUUAAGCUCCCCUUUUUAUUUUUAUUUAUAUUUAUUUUUUAUGUACAUCAAUAUUGUCUUCAUGCCUUCAUGUGGUAGAUUUACCACCACAAAGAAAUCUUUUUUUUUUUUUAAUACUUAUCUUCAGCUGCAAUUCUUGUCAUGGGGCCAUAAAGGUAAGGGAAAAAAAACUUGGGAUUGCAUGCCCAGUUGCCUUAUUAUUAUUUUUGUUUGCUGCAGGGAGCAAGACAAAGCCAUUAGUCUUCUUGUAAAUUGAUCUCUUUUAAAUUAUUGCUCUGCAGGUGGUGUAAGACCAAAAAGGAUAAACUUUCUUUCUCUUGUGUGCAUGUCGUAUACGAUGAGAGGUAGAGUUCUUGCUUUUUGAUGUCGUGGUGGGUUCACCACUACAUCCUUGUCUA
rnacentral:lncRNA from 1 species